rnacentral:rRNA from 1 species
GGUCAAGUGACUAAGAGCAUGUGGUGGAUGCCUUGGCGAUGAUAGGCGACGAAAGACGUGAUAGCCUGCGAUAAGCUUCGGGGAGCUGGCAAAUAAGCUUUGAUCCGGAGAUUUCUGAAUGGGGAAACCCACCCGCAAGGGUAUCGCAUACUGAAUACAUAGGUAUGCGAGGCGAACCUGGAGAACUGAAACAUCUAAGUACCCAGAGGAAAAGACAUCAACCGAGAUUCCGAAAGUAGUGGCGAGCGAAAUCGGAACAGCCUUCUAGUGAUAGUCAGACGGUUAACAAACGGAAUGGAAAGUCCGGCCAUAGUAGGUGAUAGCCCUGUAUGUGAAAACCGACUGGUGGUACUGAGCUAGAGAAAAGUAGGGCGGGGCACGAGAAACCCUGUCUGAUAUGGGGGGACCAUCCUCCAGCUAAUACUCAUCAUCGACCGAUAGUGAACCAGUACCGUGAGGGAAAGGCGAAAAGAACCCCGGGAGGGGAGUGAAAUAGAUCCUGAAACCGCAUGCUUACAAAAAGUAGGAGCCCGCAAGGGUGACUGCGUACCUUUUGUAUAAUGGGUCAGCGACUUACAUUCAGUGGCAAGGUUAACCGAAUAGGGGAGCCGUAGAGAAAUCGAGUCCGAACAGGGCGUCCAGUCGCUGGGUGUAGACCCGAAACCAAGUGAUCUAUCCAUGGCCAGGAUGAAGGUGCCGUAACAGGUACUGGAGGUCCGAACCGACUAGUGUUGCAAAACUAGCGGAUGAGCUGUGGAUAGGGGUGAAAGGCUAAACAAACUUGGAAAUAGCUGGUUCUCUCCGAAAACUAUUUAGGUAGUGCCUCAAGUAUUACCUGCGGGGGUAGAGCACUGUUUAGGCUAGGGGGUCAUGGCGACUUACCAAACCUAUGCAAACUCCGAAUACCGCAGAGUACAGCUUGGGAGACAGAGCACCGGGUGCUAACGUCCGGACUCAAGAGGGAAACAACCCAGACCGCCAGCUAAGGUCCCUAAAAUUGGCUAAGUGGGAAACGAAGUGGGAAGGCUAAAACAGUCAGGAUGUUGGCUUAGAAGCAGCCAUCAUUUAAAGAAAGCGUAAUAGCUCACUGAUCGAGUCGUCCUGCGCGGAAGAUGUAACGGGGCUAAGCCAGUUACCGAAGCUGCGGAUUUGCAAUUUAUUGCAAGUGGUAGGAGAGCGUUCUGUAAGCCUGUGAAGGUGCCUGGUAACGGGUGCUGGAGGUAUCAGAAGUGCGAAUGCUGACAUGAGUAGCGUUAAAGGGGGUGAAAAGCCCCCUCGCCGUAAGCGCAAGGUUUCCUACGCAACGUUCAUCGGCGUAGGGUGAGUCGGCCCCUAAGGCGAGGCAGAGAUGCGUAGCUGAUGGGAAACAGGUCAAUAUUCCUGUACCGAUGUGUAGUGCGAUGUGGGGACGGAGAAGGUUAGCUCAGCCAACUGUUGGAUAUGUUGGUUCAAGCCUGUAGUCGUGCCUGGUAGGCAAAUCCGCCGGGCUUAGAUGAGGGGUGAUAACGAGUCUGCUUGCAGACGAAGUGAGUGAUACCCUGCUUCCAGGAAAAGCCACUAAGCUUCAGCUACACACGACCGUACCGCAAACCGACACUGGUGCGCGAGAUGAGUAUUCUAAGGCGCUUGAGAGAACUCUGGAGAAGGAACUCGGCAAAUUGAUACCGUAACUUCGGGAGAAGGUAUGCCGCAAGUAGGUGAACUUGUACAAAGGGAGCCCAAAGCGGUUGCAAAAAAUCGGUGGCUGCGACUGUUUAAUAAAAACACAGCACUCUGCAAACACGAAAGUGGACGUAUAGGGUGUGACGCCUGCCCGGUGCUGGAAGAUUAAAUGAUGGGGUGCAAGCUCUUGAUUGAAGUCCCAGUAAACGGCGGCCGUAACUAUAACGGUCCUAAGGUAGCGAAAUUCCUUGUCGGGUAAGUUCCGACCUGCACGAAUGGCGUAACGAUGGCCACACUGUCUCCUCCAGAGACUCAGCGAAGUUGAAAUGUUUGUGAUGAUGCAAUCUCCCCGCGGAAAGACGGAAAGACCCCAUGAACCUUUACUGUAGCUUUGUAUUGGAUUUUGAACGGAUCUGUGUAGGAUAGGUGGGAGGCUUUGAAGUGAGGACGCUAGUUCUCAUNNNNNNNNNNNNNNNNNNNNNNNNNNNNNNNNNNNNNNNNNNNNNNNNNNUGUAUCCGCGGCUAGACGGAAAGACCCCGUGAACCUUUACUAUAGCUUUGCACUGGACUUUGAAUUUGCUUGUGUAGGAUAGGUGGGAGGCUUUGAAGUGGGGACGCCAGUUCUCAUGGAGCCAUCCUUGAAAUACCACCCUGGCAACUUUGAGGUUCUAACUCAGGUCCGUUAUCCGGAUCGAGGACAGUGUAUGGUGGGUAGUUUGACUGGGGCGGUCUCCUCCCAAAGAGUAACGGAGGAGUACGAAGGUGCGCUCAGACCGGUCGGAAAUCGGUCGUAGAGUAUAAAGGCAAAAGCGCGCUUGACUGCGAGACCCACACGUCGAGCAGGUACGAAAGUAGGUCUUAGUGAUCCGGUGGUUCUGUAUGGAAGGGCCAUCGCUCAACGGAUAAAAGGUACUCCGGGGAUAACAGGCUGAUACCGCCCAAGAGUUCAUAUCGACGGCGGUGUUUGGCACCUCGAUGUCGGCUCAUCACAUCCUGGGGCUGAAGCCGGUCCCAAGGGUAUGGCUGUUCGCCAUUUAAAGUGGUACGCGAGCUGGGUUUAGAACGUCGUGAGACAGUUCGGUCCCUAUCUGCCGUGGACGUUUGAGAUUUGAGAGGGGCUGCUCCUAGUACGAGAGGACCGGAGUGGACGAACCUCUGGUGUUCCGGUUGUCACGCCAGUGGCAUUGCCGGGUAGCUAUGUUCGGAAGAGAUAACCGCUGAAAGCAUCUAAGCGGGAAACUUGCCUCAAGAUGAGAUCUCACUGGAGCCUUGAGCUUCCUGAAGGGCCGUCGAAGACUACGACGUUGAUAGGUCGGGUGUGUAAGCGCUGUGAGGCGUUGAGCUAACCGAUACUAAUUGCCCGUGAGGCUUGACCAU